UGAAACGUGAGAUUCGGUGUGAAUUGCAAAUCAAUUGGAUCACUAGUUUUUCGAAUGCGUACAAGCCGUAGUGCAUUUUCGUGACUGUCAGAUAACUCAAACCAAAAAUUUUUUCAUUCUAUAUGAUAGAAAAUUCUAAUUUUGAUUUCUGACGUCAUGGAAGUGUGAGUACCCGCUGGACUUAA
rnacentral:misc_RNA from 1 species